rnacentral:rRNA from 1 species
AAUGAACGUUGGCGGCGUGGAUUAGGCAUGCAAGUCGAGCGGGUGUAGUAAUACAUCAGCGGCGAAAGGGAGAGUAACGCGUAGUUACGUGCCCCGAGGUCCAGAAUAGCUACGGGAAACUGUAGGUAAUGCUGGAUGAUAUCUCCGGAUCAAAGGUGUGAUUCCGCCUCGGGAGCGGACUGCGUCCUACUAGCUAGUUGGCGGGGUAAUGGCCCACCAAGGCGACGAUGGGUAGCGGGUGUGAGAGCAUGACCCGUCUCACUGGGACUGAGACACUGCCCAGACACCUACGGGUGGCUGCAGUCGAGAAUCUUCGGCAAUGAGCGCAAGCUUGACCGAGCGACGCCGCGUGCGGGAUGAAGGCCUUCGGGUCGUAAACCGCUUUCGGUUGGGAGGAAAUCGCUAGGGGUUCUCCCCUAGUGUUGACCUAUCUUCGGAAGAAGGACGGGCUAAGUUCGUGCCAGCAGCCGCAGUAAAAC